rnacentral:rRNA from 1 species
AUACAGAGGGUGCAAGCGUUAAUCGGAAUUACUGGGCGUAAAGCGCGCGUAGGUGGUUUGAUAAGUUGGAUGUGAAAUCCCCGGGCUUAACCUGGGUCGGUCAUUCAAAACUGUCAGACUAGAGUAUGGUAGAGGGUAGUGGAAUUUCUAGUGUAGCGGUGAAAUGCGUAGAUAUUAGAAGGAACACCAGUGGCGAAGGCGACUGCCUGGACUGAUUCUGACACUGAGGUGCGAAAGCGUGGGUAGCGAACAGGAUUAGAAACCCCGGUAGUCC